rnacentral:rRNA from 1 species
UUUUAUGGAGAGUUUGAUCCUGGCUCAGGAUGAACGCUGGCGGCGUGCCUAAUACAUGCAAGUCGAGCGAACGGACGAGAAGCUUGCUUCUCUGAUGUUAGCGGCGGACGGGUGAGUAACACGUGGAUAACCUGCCUAUAAGACUGGGAUAACUUCGGGAAACCGGAGCUAAUACCGGAUAAUAUUUUGAACCGCAUGGUUCAAAAGUGAAAGA